rnacentral:rRNA from 1 species
AGUGAACGCUGGCGGUAGGCCUAACACAUGCAAGUCGAACGGCAGCACAGUAAGAGCUUGCUCUUACGGGUGGCGAGUGGCGGACGGGUGAGGAAUACAUCGGAAUCUACUUUUUCGUGGGGGAUAACGUAGGGAAACUUACGCUAAUACCGCAUACGACCUACGGGUGAAAGCAGGGGAUCUUCGGACCUUGCGCGAUUGAAUGAGCCGAUGUCGGAUUAGCUAGUUGGCGGGGUAAAGGCCCACCAAGGCGACGAUCCGUAGCUGGUCUGAGAGGAUGAUCAGCCACACUGGAACUGGGACACGGUCCAGACUCCUACGGGAGGCAGCAGUGGGGAAUAUUGGACAAUGGGCGCAAGCCUGAUCCAGCCAUACCGCGUGGGUGAAGAAGGCCUUCGGGUUGUAAAGCCCUUUUGUUGGGAAAGAAAAGCAGCAGGUUAAUACCCCGCUGUUCUGACGGUACCCAAAGAAUAAGCACCGGCUAACUGCGU